rnacentral:rRNA from 1 species
AACGAACGCUGGCGGCAUGCCUAACACAUGCAAGUCGAACGAAGCCUUCGGGCUUAGUGGGGCACGGGUGCGUAACGCGUGGAAAUCUCCCCUUGGGUUCGGAAUACAAGUUAGAAAUGACUGCUAUUACCGGAUGAUGUCUCCGGACCAACGAUUUAUCGCUCCAAGGAUGGGCCGGCGUGGGUUUAGGUGGUUGGUGGGGAAUGGGCCCACCAAGCCGACGCUCCUUCGCUGGUCUGAGAGGAUGAUCAGCCACACUGGGACUGAGACACGGCCCAGACGCCUACGGGAGGCAGCAGUGGGGAAUAUUGGACAAUGGGCGAAAGCCUGAUCCAGCAAUGCCGCGUGAGUGAUGAAGGCCUUAGGGUUGUAAAGCUCUUUUACCAGGGAUGAUAAUGACAGUACCUGGAGAAUAAGGAGCUGCUAACUUCGUGCCAGCCGCCGCAGUAA